rnacentral:rRNA from 1 species
GCUAAACGCGAAGAACCUUACCAGGUCUUGACAUCCCGCUGACCGUUCUAGAGAUAGAUCUUUCCCUUCGGGGACAGCGGUGACAGGUGGUGCAUGGUUGUCGUCAGCUCGUGUCGUGAGAUGUUGGGUUAAGUCCCGCAACGAGCGCAACCCUUGAUCUUAGUUGCCAGCAUUCAGUUGGGCACUCUAAGGUGACUGCCGGUGAUAAACCGGAGGAAGGUGGGGAUGACGUCAAAUCAUCAUGCCCCUUAUGACCUGGGCUACACACGUGCUACAAUGGACGGUACAGAGGGUCGCAACCCCGCGAGGGUGAGCUAAUCCCAUAAAACCGUUCUCAGUUCGGAUUGUAGGCUGCAACUCGCCUACAUGAAGCCGGAAUCGCUAGUAAUCGUGGAUCAGCAUGCCACGGUGAAUACGUUCCCGGGUCUUGUACACACCG